rnacentral:rRNA from 1 species
UACGUAGGGUGCAAGCGUUGUCCGGAAUUACUGGGCGUAAAGGGCUCGUAGGCGGCCAACUAAGUCAGACGUGAAAUCCCUCGGCUUAACCGGGGAACUGCGUCUGAUACUGGAUGGCUUGAGUUUGGGAGAGGGAUGCGGAAUUCCAGGUGUAGCGGUGAAAUGCGCAGAUAUCAGGAGGAACACCGGUGGCGAAGGCGGGUCUCUGGGCCGAUACUGACGCUGAGGAGCGAAAGCGUGGGGGAGCGAACAGG